UCUUAACAUUAAUCCACUCUUGUCGCCGAUCAAUCGGUUUAUUCAUCGGUUGAUUCUUGGCGUGAUUGGUGCAUGUGCAUUCUAGUGAUUCGAGGUUUUUAGUCACUAUUGUUGGUCUAAUUUUGGAUGUUCAAUGUCUACACACGGAGGAAAUGAAUUGAGACUAAUUCGAGCUUUUCUGCAUGUUCAGCGAAGCAUGUUUAGUUGUCUUGUUAUAUUUAUCAGCUUGCAAUUCCUAUUAGGUGUAGAAAUCUGCUCAGUUAUUCUCUUCUACCAAUUUGUUAUGGUGUCAAUGGUGAUGAAUUUUCCUUAUGUUAUCUGAGCGGUCGUAGAGUGGAAAUUGACUGCAAAGUUGUCGGAACUAAUGUGUACUAACUUUAGGUUGAAUGGGAAGAUUACCUUGAUUGAUGAGGUUCUACUUUCACAGCUACAUCUUUCUUGUUCUCAGAUCUUAAAGCACCUUGAGGGGUGAUGAGAAGUGGAAAGCUGCCACAGAACAUAAUUGGAAAGCCACUCCUGCAAUAACUGUGGUUUUGACCAGAAAUUUGCACCAUUUUUGGCUAGCUGAUGGCAGGGACAAAAAAUCUUCAGAGCUUGGGUAUUACUUAGCUAUUUAUGGCACUGAAAUGAAGUAGGAGGAGCUGUGCAUAUGAUCAUUAAUUCUGUGGACAGCUUAAUUGGUACCGCAUCAGAAGCGAGGACUUCCCACUAUAACUGUAAUCUUGACAUUGGAAUAGCUCAUUGGCAAUAUUAAGAGUGCAAAUUGACUUGGAAGAUACUAGUCAUGUUCUUUUAUUAUUAUUUUCACAA